rnacentral:rRNA from 1 species
UACAGAGGUCUCAAGCGUUGUUCGGAUUCAUUGGGCGUAAAGGGUGUGUAGGUGGCGCGCUAAGUCGGGUGUGAAAUUUCGGAGCUUAACUCCGAAACUGCAUUCGAUACUGGCGUGCUUGAGUUUGGGAGAGGGAUGCGGAAUUCCAGGUGUAGCGGUGAAAUGCGUAGAUAUCUGGAGGAACACCGGUGGCGAAGGCGGCAUCCUGGACCAACACUGACGCUGAGGAGCGAAAGCCAGGGGAGCAAACGGG